GAAACUACACAAAUCAGAUGAGAGAACAAAAUUCAUCACAAAACAAUGAUGGGGAAUUAGAAGGGUAGUAGGUUAACAGAAAACAGCAAUGAAUAGCCAUCGACUAAGCCAUGGAGAACCAAACCAUUAAAGUUCAUGGGAAAUAAAUAACAUGUUAGAAUUUUCAGACUUAAAAAAAUAGUCAAAGUGGCUGCCACUUUCUUCACCCUCCUCCUAAGGAAUGGGAUGGGGCAGUCCCCAGUUCCACAUAUGAUUUUAUUAUUUUGCCAUAUAAGAACCACAAUUUCUUUUCUUUUCUUUUCUUUUCUCUCUCUCCCUCUUUUUUUUUUUUUUUUUUUUUGUUAAAUUAAAGAAUACCAUAUUCAUGGGAUACACCAAAACAAAAAAUAAGCAAAUAACUACUGCAAUUUCAACCAUCAACAAGCCCCUUAGAUAUAUCCUUUAAACAUCUCUAUCAAUAAUAGCGCUUAUUUUUUCUAAUUAUCACACAUUUAGCUCUAACACUAUGCUUACCCACAAAUUCCGACCCAAAGACAGAAAGAAUUAGGGUUUUCAUCAAAACAAGCCCAAACUAAAACCCAACUUCAGAAUCCAAUACAGAAAAACCCUAACAUCCAUCACAUUAAACCUUGAACACGCAUCCACAUUAAAAAACAAGUAAAACAGCUAAAUAAAUAAAUAAAAUAAAAAACAAAAAACAAAAAUCGACAGCCGAAAUCAUUGCCUAAUGAAGCAGAUAAAUCACCAAACCAAAAAAUAAAUAAAUAAAUAAAUAAGUAAUCGUAGAUUUCAAUAAGCAUCAAUCGGACAGAGAGAUAUGAAGAAAGAGCGAGUACCAACAACGGCUUCCAUGUACGGAAACGCCAUGGCUGACUCAGUAGAGGACUUUAGAGAGAGAAACUAGAGAGAGGGAGAGAGAGAAGAGGGGUUUUUCUUUGAAAAUCUGCAUUCUGCAUUUGCGUAAGCAUUUCUAGUGAAAAUGAUAGAGGUGGGUCGGUGGGUCGGUUUCCGGAUCCGACUACUUGAUUGCAAUCCGACCUGGUCCGAAUUGAUUAAAAAAAUAAAUACUAAUAGCAAAAUGUGAAUUUAUUAUUAUUUUAAUUUAUUUAUAUAUAUAAAUAAUAUUUUCUCAUAAAAAAUAAUAAAUAAAUAGAACAUCGUCAUGACCUAAUUUCAUAUCCUAAUAUAAAUUUUUAUUGGAUUCCAUCAGUAUUUACGUGGUAUAUUUUUCUCAUGGAGUUUAUAAUGAAGUGCUAAAAUUAAAAGCUUUAAUUAUAUUGCCUAGAAAUAAAACCCAAUGUGCAUUGUAAUUUUCAUGUCCUAUUAACAACUCUAUUGCUAAUUUACCAACACAAUUGGGGAGGAAACCAAAAUAAAGUUGCAAAUAAAAUAAAAAUUAGAUGAUAAAUAAUUUUUUGAGUUUAUUAUUAUUAUUAUUUUAAUAAAUAUCAUUUAUUCAUCAAUGUCAUGCUUGGGAUGUGUGUCGUAGCCUACCCAAAUUAUUAUUAUUAUUAUAAAAAUUUACAAAAUUUGACAAUGUUUCAAGAGUAUUAAAAAGGUUUUGAAAAAUGAUUGUUGAAAAUUAUUAUAUCAUAUUUUGUAGGAUAAAGGUUUGUUGUGAAAUGUUAUGAAAACCAUUCAAAAAUACAUACAACAUAUUAAAGUUUAAAAAUACCUAAGAAAAAAAAUAAAGACUAUUGUUUGUUUUUUUUUAUUAUUUAAUUCUAAAUAAAACUUUAAUGUUUAAUAGUAUUAAGUAUUAUAUUGUUUGUUUUUAUAGUAUUUUAUUUUUAUUAAAUAUUAAAAAAAGUGUUAUUUUUUCUAUUCAACAAAAAGUUUAUAAUAAGUCAUAAAAAUGGCAAAAAAAAAAAAAAAAAAAAAAAACCUUAAUUCUAAAAAUAAAUUACUUUCAGCAAAAAACAAACACCCUCUAAGAUUUUGUUUGAAAACUGUUUUUAACAACAGUUUUAUGUUUUUCUAGAAAAAAAAUUGGAAAAUACGUUUGACAAUUAGAAACUACCUUCAAUUUUUUUGUUAUCAGAAAACAUAAAAUAUUGUGUUUAAAAAAAAACAUAAAACAUUGUGUUUAAAAAAAACAUAAAACAUUGUGUUUAAAAAAAAACAUAAAACAUUGUGUUUAAAAAAACAUUUUUUAAUUGUUUUUAUUUGAAAGUUGUUUUAAAAAAUAAUUAUACAAACAUAUAUAAUAAUAAAAAAUAAAAUUGUGGACAUAAAAAUUAUUUUUAAAACAUAUUUAAAAAUAUUAAAAACAGGUUAAAAAUAUUUUAGGUUCCCAAAUAAACUUUUAUUUUACAAAAUAUCAUAAAACAAAUUUUAAAAACUAUUUUUCAGAAUUGUUUUAAAAAACAAUUACCAAACAAGGUUUGAUUUGUCCUUAUUCCAAAAACAAAGAGAAUAAUUCUAACUUACAUUUAUUCUUAAAAAAAAGAAAAUAAUUAUAAUAUAGUAACUAAAUAAAUAAAUCUACCAAUUUUAAAAGUAACUUUUAUAUAACACUUUAUUAUUUGCAAAAAUGAAUGAAAAAAACUUAAAAAUAUGAUUUUUUAAAAACAUCGUAUUUUUUAACUAUCAAAUGUGUUUUCUUACUCUUAUUUUAUCAUUAGAAACCAUAAUAAGAGUCCGUUUAGCAACGGAUUUAAAAAAUGUUUGUAACAUUUUUAAUACUUGAAAAAUUUUAUCAUUGAAGUGUUAGAAAAUACUAUAAACAUUUUCUACAAUUACUACCAAACCAACUCUUAUAGUUCCUCGAUUUCUCUUGUAAUUCUUGUUUUUGAAAUAAAAAAGUCAUCAAUUUCCUUUUAAUGUCUCGUCUCUUACCGGUCAUCAUCCUUUAGAUCUUGUUUUCACUAGUGUAUGGGGACCUUAUCCUAUUCAGUCUCGUGAAGGUUUUCUUUACCAUGUCAUUUUUGUAGACCAUUUCACCAAAUACAUUUGGUUAUGCCCAUUGCAAAAGAAAUCUGAGAUCUUUGAUAUCUUUCAUCGCUUCAGUUUAGAACUACCCUUCCAAUGAAUAGAUAGAACCAUUUAUCAUAGUAAAAGCCCAUGUGGAGAAGUUGCUCAAAAUUACAAACAACUAACAGCAACUAUUCUUCAUAGCUCAUACAUGUUCUUGAUGCUGCCCAUACCUGGAUCAUCUACUGUCCAUCAUCGUUUGGAAGAAGAAACAGUUGUCGAUGACUGGAUAGGUGGAUGAGCUGGUCCUAGCCUGAGGUGGGUGUACCACCAUAGCUUUACAUUUCUGAAAUGAAGCUUCAAAAUGAUGCCCUUUUCCUCACUAGUCAAGAAGUUUGGAGCUAUGAAGCCAAGACAAUCCUUUCCUUCCAUCUGUAAUUAGAGUAUACACCACUAGUUUAGUCUUGAGGUUCACCUCAUAUUCUUCAACCUUCUGUCUUCUUGCCCCAAAAUCCUCGGCUAGGCCUUAGGAUCUGCUUCAGUAGAGCCAUUUUAGGAACAUUCCAGUGCUCCACAUGCCUGAAAAACCCGAGUCACAUCCAGGUGAACCAAAAAAAUAUCAUAAUGAGCAAGCAAGUAUCCAAGUAUCUCUCAUGGUUACACCUUACCUGCAUACUUUCCCAGAUUGAGAAUCAAAAUAAUACUCUGUAUACCCAGUAGCUGCAGCAUCACACAACAUGGCCAUAAUAUAUAAGAAACAAUGUACAAUAUUCUGUACAUGAGAAAAUAAACAUACAUAUCUCAGAACUAGUUACUCAUGUUCCUGCAAGUAUCCAUAAAAGCAAUUCUGAUUUGUUCUGUUGGGAUAAAGUGCUUGAAAGUAAGACAGUUGAACAGGCACAAUUGGUUCAAUCCAUAAAAGUGGUAGAACAUACCUGAAAGAAUGGGCUUCCAAGGAAAUGACAAGACACAGCUAAACCGCCAGUGGCCAAUUCCUUUGUCCUGCAUCCGGUAAGUAAAGAGAAAUCUGUCAAAGAAACAAAUCGAAGCCCUCUAUAGGGAAAACUAAAGAGAUUGUAUACUACUCUUGUUGGCAUGAGUUAUGUAUUCAACUUUAGCGAGCUAACCUCAAAAUCUUCCCACUUCAUGAGUUUCAUAUUCGACUUUUGGAUGAGAGAUCCAAAAUUUGUGCAGUUCCUUUUAAAUCGGCGAAGCCCUCUGAAAGAACCAGCAGGGUCAGCAAAUUCACAAUCAUCUUCAUAGGCACUGAGUGUCAGAUUCCCUAUUCAUAGAAAAGGAAAAGUUAUUGGUCACUCUUCACUACAAAAAACUUGGAGAUCAGACCAAAUUGUUGCUCCCUAAAAAACUUCUGGGAAAAUCUGUUCUCAAGUCCAGAAAAUUUUCUUCCCCAAGAAAAUCUACAAACUAGAAUAGAAACCUGAAAGUUGCUGCAAAACUGGUAAACAAGUAAAAGAGACCCUCUAACGAAUUUUUAGAACUUAUUGGAACACAUUGAACUAAAUUCUAUCAUAUUUGACCCUAAAUACCAUUAAAUGAAGAGAUUCAUCACUGGAGACGAAUGAUCUCCAAGAACAAUUCAUUCAAAUGCACUGUUUGUUUGUAGUAAUAGGAUUAAAAACCAACAAAUUAGUGGAAGAAACAGUGACGUAAAAGUGGAUUAUUGGUAUUUAGUAUAAAGCCUUCUCAUAGCAAAGAAUUUAGGAUUCAUAACUAAGAAGAAGUGAUGCCCCUUAUGUUUGGUUGGCUAGAAACUAGUAGAAAGUAAAACAAAAGGAAAAUUGAAACGUUAGAUUUCUAUUCUUUGUCCAUGCCCCCAAAAGAAACGCACAAUUAUUUGGCUAAAUUCAAUUGAGUUUUCAUUUUCUUCAAGAACUAAGUGGCAUAAGUUUUAGAUCAACAUUUUUUUUCCUUAAUUUUCUCGGUUACCAAACAGUAAGGUUCAACCGUUCGAAUUAUUGUGAGUGACAUUUUUAACUUUUUGGAAGCAAAAGAAAACAGAAACAUGAAAUUCAGAACUUGAACUUCAUAUAUUUUCCUUCAUUUUCUCUGCAACCAAACAAAGGCAAAGGUUAAGCUAGGUAUUAGCAAACCUGUGACGAAGUAGGAUCUCUGAAAGUCCUCUUUGAUGGUUUCCACAAGUGCGGCGCGAUCAACGGCUCCCGACCCGUCUCCAGCGAGGUCAAUAGCUCUUUCGGGAGCUUCGACACUCGACGGUGACCGGAAAAACGAAGCGGCAAUUCCGAGCAGCUCCGACCCGUACCAAGCAACCUUGAGCAACGCGUUCUCGGGUUCGGAUUCUUGAGCAGUUGACGAAUUACUUCUUGGAUUCUCUCCGUCGCACCGGAACCUGUGGAUUUUGUGAUGGUAAUUUGGCCGGAAAAAGUCAUUUCGGUGCCGGAAACUGAUGUGGGGAGUCACGGAAGUGAAGGAGAGAAGCGAUGUCAUUUUAGAGAGAGAACCAAACUUCUGGACAGUGGUGAGGUUCUCUCUCAUCAGCAAAUUUUCUGUUUGUUUCCUGUGAAAAUAUCUGCAGUGAUAAAACGACACCGUUGCACUAACUCUCCCUGUUGUCUGGGCAACCGCGUCGUUUUUUCUUUUUCGGUUAUACUGUUAAAACAGUUGUUUGAGUUUCUCCGUUUUCCCUUUCAGUUACCAACACGACAUAUAUAUCCCAUAUCAAAUAGGGGAAAAGUUUCUAACACUAUGUAAGUAUGAACUUUUCUUAACUCUAUAGACACGUUUUAAAAUCGUGAAAACCCCCUUUGAAUUCAAAACUGACAAUGUUUUGUUUUGGACCAAAACAAAGAACCCAUUUCCAUUAGACAACCAGGUUUCAAAUUUUACCUUCAACGAUGUCGUUUCCUUCUUUGAGUCCACCUACGAGUUCCUCCGUUUGCAUGAUUGAAUCAACUAUUAUGAAUGAAAAUGUCAAAAAUUAAGAAAAUUAUAUAAGGUUGAAAGGGUGACUCUUUCAUACUUAUACUUUGAUCCUAUAUAUAUCAUACCCUCGUUUGAGGAUCCAAAUUUUAAGGCAUUAGGGUUCCAGCGAAGUUAGCACUAGGGUUCCCAAAAAGAGGAGGUUCGGUUCCCAUAGGGAGUUUGAAAGGCUAAGCCAUGAAAGGUUGGUCGAUCAUUAAAAUAAAAAGAUGUAUUUGUGAAUGGAGCAAUUUCAUUAUCCAAUGCAACUAUCAGCGGGCGGUAAGCAUUCAAGAUAUGAAACUGACAAUAAGAAUAUUGAGAUCAUAUUCAAAUACACAUGUACACAUGACUUAUCCAAAUGGUCUUGGUGGCUUCUCCAGAACAGCAGAAAAAAACACCUCUCGAUCGUCUUUGUCCAGCUUUGGGACAACUACCCAUUUAUGCUUCUUGUACCUCAGCAUCCUAAAGGCAUCCAGAUAAUCAUCCAAAUCUUCCUUCAAACAGAAGAAGCUAUCAAUCCACAGCAAACCUCCUGGCCUCAAAACCCUGUCCCAAUCAUACAACACAAAUUCCAGAAGCACAAAAUCAAUCCACCCAUCAAGAAAUCUUGUUGUGUGGAUCAAAUCUAGAGUGUUGUCAAAGAAGGGGAGUCGUUGAUUUAUCGUUAAGUAAAGAGGGACGAGUCCUCUGAGUGCGAUCAUUUCGCUGAAGGGUGCCCCAAGAUUGAUAGUUGCAGAGACUACCGUUACAUUGAACUCUGUCAUCCUUGCUGCAAAAGUCCCGGUUCCUACGCUGAAGUCCAAUCCGAUUCUGAUCUCUCCAGGCUUGAUAUCAAGCACCUCAGGUAUAAGAAAAUCUGAAGUCAGAUUUGAGCUGGGGUCUAGAUUUAUGAGCUGAAUCCAUCUGGGCAUUUCAUGAUGGGAAAGAUUGAAGCAAUCCGCACACUUGAAGAACCCUUUGCCAGUGGAAUUGCUGGCAAGGCAAGAGAAGUUCUUGCAUCUGUACUGACUCCAUCGGACAUUUCGAUCAUCAGGGAGCUUCCACAUGGAUUCAUUGAUGGGGAACGGCUUGCUGAAGAGUUGUGGAGCUCUGGCGAAGCACCUCCUCCUUGGUAAUGGAUCACACCCAUGAACCAUCAGCAGCUGAGCUAGUUUCCAGUCAUCUUGGCAGAUAUCCCCAAUGUCGUAAUCCAUGUAAUCUUCAAGUUUUUUCUUCAUAGAAAAACAGGCAUGACCAAUACUUGUGAAGGUCCCAUUAGCUCCCAUGAAGUUCUGCUUCCCCAGUCUAUUGGGUUUGAUCUUGACAUAUUUCCGAAUCUCUUCUACCAGGAAGUAACUGGAGGGCUCAUCAGACUGUAGUUUUGGUUUUAACAGAGGAUGGAUGCCUUUGAUUUCUGCACUUUGUUGACAUGUUCCUUCAGUCACUGGUAGAGAUGCUUGUACCGAUUCAAUAUGCCCCAGAAUAUCUGCAAGGACAACACUGAAUUUCAACAUAGCCGAAGAACAAGGUGAUGAUGAUGAUGACGACUCCAUUGACAAUUCCCUCAUCUCUUUCAAUUCUUGCUGGAUUUUCUGAAUGACAGUUUCGACAGUUAUUCUCACUUCACUUUGGGUCAUGUCUUGGCUCUCAGGAUUUAUGCUGUUGCUGAAGGUAUCAGUAACCAUAAGAGAUCUUACAGAGUAGAAUCUUGACAAAGUAGAACCACAGAUGAGAAGAGCAAGGAUACCCAAUAUAAAGAUUAGCCCAUUAACCCAUCUCCGUGUUCUGAACUUUAAGAAAACGCUCGCUCUUGCCAUCUCCAGCUUUUGGAGGUUGAUAAAUCAGAGGUUCUCAGGUAUUCUCAAUGAGGAAGAAGGAUGGUAACAGUCCUAUAACUACUUAAGAAAUCCAAGCUAUAAUUUCAAAUAAUACAAAUAUAAAAUCAAAGUGCUAUAACAUACUCAAUUCGCAGUAACCCAGCAAACAAUAUUUAACAAGAAUCCGAAAAACAUUCUAACUGCACAACCAGUUAUGAGAUUGAGAAGAUGGGUAAUUAGAGUAAGUGGUGCAUAAGAGUAAACAGUACCUGAGACUUGAACCUGAAAGCUCUUUCUGGAUAAGAGAGAGGGGUGAGGUUGACUCAGGAGACAUUUUAAUUGAUAAGCAAAGCUGAAGAAAAGGGGCCUUAAAGUUUUUGAGAUCAGAGUCCUUGAAUUCUAUUUUCUAUUCAUUUCGAGUUUUGGUCUCCUUGGGCAGAUAUCCGCCAGCAUUCUACUAUAGUUUACUGCAAGUUUGUUCAGUACCUUAAGAUAAAUGGUCAAUGCUUUUCAAUUUUUUAAUCAGCCUAAUGCUUCCAUGAUUUCCAUGGAUGCUAUAUAGAUGCCAAACAUUUUAUCAGGAAUUACUACAGAGAACACAAAGUGCUGCACGGUUUUGGGAUGCUGUUUUCACGAAAUGGGCAUCUGAUGUUCAUGCAUCAUAUUAAUUAGUAAGCUGCAUCAAAUAUAAAGAAAUCACAGCAGAAAACAGAUCCAGGCUGCUACCUAAUGUUUGAAUUGGCUUCAAUAAAUUUAUGUCUUCCUGUUACUUAACAAAGCAGUAAUACUCAUACUAAAUUCAGAAAUACAAACAAUAAGUUUCAAGCAGAUAUCUAAGUUCCAGUUGAGCAUAAAAUAUACGACCUUCUCACUAGUCUCAAGAAGCAAAAGGUAAAGUUAAGGCACAUGUACAUGGCAGCUGGCCAACAGUAGACUAGUAAAAUUGUUAAGGAAGGUAAGUCAAUGAAAAACCAAAGCUAUAAGCCUAUACCUUAAUUUGCAUCUAAAACCGAAACACGAAAGAAGAAGCAACCACCUUUUUCUUUGGGUCAUUUGCAGUUUCUUGAUUACUGAAAUGCAUCAAGAAAAAAACAAACUCUGUUUUUCUAUGUUACUCUCUGAAUGGAUUCCAAUCCGUAAAUGCCCUUAAUUUUGCGAAAAAAUCACGUGGCUGACGUGGUACUGAGAAUCUGUUCAAAGAGAGUAUCAGUUUCCUUCUUUAAACUGUUCAGUGUUCCAAAUCAUGAGGCAAAAAUGAUGUCAUUGGAAAUAACCUAACAAGAAGAGUAUUUAUUCAUCCAAUCUAUGUUCUAAAUUCCACAAAAUUGAUCGAUAAAAUGUAAAAAGCAAGCUAAAAUUAAUAUGGGUUACAAAGUUGGAAACAUGGGAGCUGGCUCCUGAACUAGCAAUUGAGAAAACUUUCAAGUCUCAAACUCAUCUCCAGACUAUAAACCGAGACAACGGCUAAAUCAACUUAUAAAUUCAAUCACCAAAAUGAAAAAUUCAAUGGAAAAUGAAAAAUUCCAGAGAAGAUGAAGGUAGAACAUAAGAUUUCUGACAUAUGGCAAACAGAAAAACUGAUAGCCAUUUGCUGUCAGUUAAAAUUCUUCACAAAUAAUUCAGCAACUUCGUUGGAGUUAAAUCAAUGGGAACACAGAAACAAAACCAAUUCCAACAUGACACAGAACAGAUCGACAUCCUUGGUUUUUUCUUCUUUUUUUUUUUUCACUCUAAACAACUAGAACCGUAAUCCAAGCCAUAUAAACCUUCCAAUAUCACCACAACCAAAACCUUUACAUUUCAAAACGGCCUAAACCCCAAAUCAGAAGAAGUCAAAUCGUAUUCAGUCACCUCCUCCUC
rnacentral:lncRNA from 1 species